rnacentral:tRNA from 1 species
GCAUCCGUAGCUCAGCUGGAUAGAGUACUCGGCUACGAACCGAGGGGGGAGCCGCAAGGCGAGUAAUCCUCCCGGAUGCACCA